rnacentral:rRNA from 1 species
AGAGUUUGAUCAUGGCUCAGGAUGAACGCUGGCGGCGUGCCUAAUACAUGCAAGUCGAACGGACGACUUCGGUCGUUAGUGGCGAACGGGUGAGUAACGCGUUGGUGACCUGCCCCGGAACGUGGGAUAACAGGCCGAAAGGCUUGCUAAUACCGCAUGCGCAAGAGGGAGUUAGAGAGCCUUUUGUAAAGGGAGAAAUCUCGUUCUGGGCGGGGCCUGCGACCCAUCAGCUAGUUGGUAAGGUAACGGCCUACCAAGGCGAUGACGGGUAGGGGACCUGAGAGGGUGGCCCCCCACAAUGGAACUGAAACACGGUCCAUACACCUACGGGUGGCAGCAGUAGGGGAUAUUGCUUAAUGGGCGAAAGCCUGAAGCAGCAACGCCGCGUGUGCGAUGAAGGCCUUCGGGUUGUAAAGCACUUUUUGCAGGGAAGAGGAAGGACGGUACCUGCAGAAUCAGCCUCGGCUAACUACGUGCCAGCAGCCGCGGUAAUAC